UACGGAGGGUGCAAGCGUUAUCCGGAUUCACUGGGUUUAAAGGGAGCGUAGGUGGACUUUUAAGUCAGUGGUGAAAUCUCUGGGCUUAACCCGGAAACUGCCAUUGAUACUAUUAGUCUUGAAUUCUCUGGAGGUAAGCGGAAUAUGUCAUGUAGCGGUGAAAUGCUUAGAUAUGACAUAGAACACCCAUUGCGAAGGCAGCUUACUACGGAGACAUUGACACUGAGGCUCGAAAGCGUGGGGAUCAAACAGG
rnacentral:rRNA from 3 species